rnacentral:rRNA from 1 species
ACGGCUCAGUAACACGUGGCUAAUCUGCCCUUGGGACCGGAAUACCCCCGGGAAACUGGGGCUAAUUCUCGAUAGGUGAAGAACUCUGGAAUGAGUCUUUGCCAAAAAGACGUUUGCGUUAUGCUCGUAGACGUCGCCCAAGGAUGAGGCCGCGACCGAUCAGGUUGUUGGUGAGGUAAUGGCUCACCAAGCCUUUUACCGGUGCGGGCCGUGAGAGCGGGAGCCCGGAGAUGGGCACUGAGACAAGGGCCCAGGCCCUACGGGGCGCAGCAGUCGCGAAAACUUUGCAAUACACGAAAGUGUGACAGGGCUAUCCCGAGUGCCAUCCGCUGAGGAAGGCUUUUACCCAGUCUAGAACGCUGGGGGAAUAAGGAGAGGGCAAGUCUGGUGUCAGCCGCCGCGGUAAUACCAGCUCUCCGAGUGGUGUGGAUGUUUAUUGGGCCUAAAGCAUCCGUAGCUGGCUAAGUUAGUCCCUUGUUAAAUCCACCGAAUUAAUCGUUGGAUUGCGGGGGAUACUGCUUGGCUAGGGGACGAGAGAGGCAGACGGUAUUUCCGGGGUAGGGGUGAAAUCCUAUAAUCCCGGGAAGACCACCAGUGGCGAAGGCUGUCUGCUAGGACGCGCCCGACGGUGAGGGAUGAAAGCUGGGGGAGCGAACCGGAUUAGAUACCCGGGUAGUCCCAGCUGUAAACGAUGCAGGCUAGGUGUUUGGACGGCCACGUGCCGUUCUAGUGCCGCAGGGAAGCUGU